rnacentral:lncRNA from 1 species
CAAUAUCUUGCUGUCACUGACUUCUCUCCUUGGCCUGGAAACUUCCUGAUUUCAUAGGGUGCCACUGACUGCUCUCUCUGCAACUGCAAAAUCUCUCAAAGGGCCCUGUCCAGUUAGGUCACACAGAGCCAGGCUGAUUAUUUAGAGAGCACACAAUGCCCCCUCACAUGGGGCACAGAGAGGAAGGAAUUUUUUUUUAGGCCAAUUCCAGUCCCUGGAGCUGCAAAUUGCCCUCAGGGCAAAGAAGCCUGCAGAAUAAUUGGGAAGAGUCUGGCAGGAGGGAAGCCAAGAUGCCUGUCAUGGAAGGAAACAUGGAAGACUGCAGAGAAGUUCUUAGAAGCAAGUUCUUCUUGGUGGAUGCCUGAGGUCAUUUUGAAUCAGCAUUUCAAGCACCCAAAAUGUGUAGAAGAAUAUGGACCAAAGAAAGGAGCAGAAAGACAAAUAGAGGAAUGGAGAAUUUUGCCUGCGACUAUGAUGUUCUCAAGAAAACACAAGGAAGAAUCUGUGAGAAAAUCACAGAGAUCUAAAGAAGGGGAAAGGAAGAACCUGCAUUUAAGAGAGAAGAGAUUAUCUGACUUGGUAAAUAGGUAUUGAAAACCAGAGUCAGUGUUCCUAAUUGUACUGCCCCAGGAAAAUGCACUGAGAAGAAAUACAGCAAAACACGUGAGAUGGUGAAACACUCUGGCAACUGCAAGCAGACAGAUGGGAUUUGGGAGGUAAUGCAGGGUCACAGGGCAGCUACACCGGAUGUUUGGUUUUCCUCCUAUUCUCCUUUCCCCUCCCUCAACACCAUACACGUAACUACUAGUGAAUCAAUUCAUUUACAUAACCCAGAUAUCUAGGACUGGUUGAGGGGAUUAUCCAAGAGAGUCACAAUUUAUUACCAUUUGUUAUUAAGUACAACCAGAUGAACAGAGAACUGAUUAACUUAACCACUAAACUUUGUGCUUUUCCCCCAAAAUCUAUAGAAUUGAUUUUAAUGGAUUUUGCU